UCCCUUGCAAAAAAAAUCAAAUCUUGUUAACAUGACGGUGUCGAAGAGGGUGGCGGAGAAGAAGGUGGCGAAGUUCGAGAAGAACAUAAGCAGAAGAGGAGGGGCUUCCAACAAGACCGCCUUGGAGCCGUCUCACAUUGUUCUUAUUCUCUUCGUCGUCUUGGCCGUUGCCUCCUUUAUCUUCCAAGUGGUGAGGAUGGCAAUGAAUGGUGGAAAUCCGGAGCAAGACUCUUGAUGUUGAUGAAACCCUCUCUGAAAUCAUAAUCUCAUUUUUUGUUUGUAUUGAGCUACAAAUUGGAGCAUAAAAUGCUUCAGAUUUAAACCAACCAUUUAUUAUCCUUGUUAUUUUCGUGGAAGAAUGCAGAUUUGAGUGAUUAUGAUUUCAUUA